CUGUGAUGGAUGGUGGCAGCUCCCUGAGAGAAACUCUGACAAACACGGCUGUUUCGAGAAGCGGCUCGGCGUUUUUAAAAAAAAGUGUAUCUGAGGAAAAGAAUCCAAAAAGGAACCGUAAUGUCCUGAGCACGGAGAAGCAGAUUUGCACCGUCAGCAGCACACAGGCAACCAGUUCAACGCUGCAGAACCACAGCGGGGAUGUGAACGGAGCACCGUGUGCUGCUCCUGAGGAAUCUGUGCAUUUUUCCCCCUCGCACUAACUGGCUGCCACACAACUGCAAUGCAGAAGAUUUCCACCCACAUACACAAGUGGAAAGUGGACGGAUUCUGAGGUCAGGACUCAGAGGCAGGACGUCCGUGAAGAUUAAAGACCAAACUGAUGGCUGUAAACAUAAAUAAUGGUUUUCAAUAAUGAAGUCAGUCUGG